rnacentral:lncRNA from 1 species
GUUGUGAUAUUUUCUAGGGUUUCAUCUUGUUCUCUGGUUCGCUCAUGCUCUUGAUGGUCUGGAUGCUUCAUCUGGUAUCUCAGUGUUGAGAUUGUUGUAUAAGAGAUUGUGUUAAUCUCUUUGUUUGUAUCCUUUCUUUUUUCUGUUUUUGUAUUGUUCUGGUUAUGUUCAACAGAUUUCUUCAAUCUGUUGAACUUGUAUAGUGUAUUGAUUAAAGAUCUCAUACUUUUGAGAUCUAGGGUUUGGUUGGGAUAUUUUUCUGGGUUGGAUAAUCAAUAAAGUUUUGUCACUAUUUUGUC